rnacentral:rRNA from 1 species
AAAGUCAAAUAGCACGUGAAAUUGUUGAAAGGGAAACGAUUAAAGUCAGUCGUACCGAUGGGCAUUCAGCUUCUUGAGUGCGAUCAUGAUGGGUGUUGGGGAGCUUAACCGCCCUCGCGUCUGCGCGUUUGUGCUCUUAGGGUGUACUUGUCCGUAUGGUUGGUUAACAUCAAUUUUGGUCGUCAUAAAAUGGCGGGAGGAAUGUAGCUUCGAUCUCGUGUUGAAGUGUUAUAGCCUCUGGCAGAUGUGAUGAUUGGGAUUGAGGAUUGCAACGAACCCUUCGGGGCCACCUGUCUGGCCUCUGGUGGUCGCUCUGGUGCCGAAAGCUUGCUUACGGUCAUCAAAGUUGGUUGCCAAAAGGUUAGAACGGGUUGAUUUCGUUAAGGAUGUUGACGUAAUGACUUUAAACGACC